GUCCAGCUGACUAAUCGCAAAUAGGAUGAAACGCGCGUUGUGGAU
rnacentral:hammerhead_ribozyme from 1 species